rnacentral:tRNA from 1 species
GCUGGUGUAGCUCAACGGUAGAGCAACUGACUUGUAAUCAGUAGGUUGGGGGUUCGAUUCUUCUCACCAGCUCCA